rnacentral:tRNA from 1 species
CAUAGAGUAGCUUAAAAACAAAGCAUCCGGCUUACACCCUGAAGAAUCCAUAUAAUGGACUCUAUGA